AUUACUAAAAAUUUUUAUGCUUUAAGCAUAGGCAUAAAUGGACAGCACAAAACUUUAAGAUGCAGAAAAAUAUAUUAUAACUAGUAUCAAUGUCAAUUCGAUAUUCAAAGUACUGACAUAACAGCAGGAGCAUUAUUACUUCUGAUAGAAGUAAUAAUGCUUAUUUCGUCUUGAAGAGUUAUCAUUAUUUAUUAUU
rnacentral:sRNA from 1 species